UGGGUGAAGCCCUGCUGCGGCCUGGCGCGCCCUCACGCAGGCAGGUGCCUUGGUGGAGCUGGUUGUCUUUAAAAGCCCAUAUGGAAGCCAAAAUGCUGCCUCAUAGGCAGGCAUAGGUGAAAAGAAGUGCUCCCUUUCCAAUGCUGAAUUGGUAUGAAGGCACUUCCGGAACACACAAUGAUAGUGGAAGAGGCCAACGACUUCUGUACAAACUGCAAGGAGAUCUAUGAAGGCUAGUGCACUGAAACCCCCAUUUCUUCUGGUUUCACAUAUGAAAUCUUCCUCCUCACAGCUGCAUCCAAGAUCACAGGAAGGGUAAUGCAGCAGGGACAAAACUGACCCCAAAUUAAUAUAUAGGAUGUGCUUUUCCUUGGUUUUAUGAUCUACCAAUUUAAGAUUAUUUGAAGUGUUUCAAAUACAGAAAACUUGCCUCAAACAUUUAUAGCUAACACUGAUACAUUUUACGAAGCAUGGGUGUAGAUACGAAUUCAUUUUCCAUAUGUUUUAUCUGCAUAAUUAUUAAAUUUUUUUUUUAUACUGAAAUUAUGUUUUUACUUUUGACAAAUACAUUUUAUCAUGGAUCAAACAAUAUAUCCAUUUCUUCAGAAAAGAACAACCUCUGCAUCUUGUCUGAGAUGCAGGCUACCAGUGCGAUGUUCUCUGAGGUUCCUUGGUACCAUAUUGGAAGCAACUGCAAAACAUAUUUUGGGUUUUGCCACAGGUUGGGAAUGUGUCUCUCAUGUCAACGUGGGGUGUACUUUCUGAGUGGCUGUGCUGAGUGAUGUAAGAGCUAUACUCGGUAUUUUUCUCCUACAGUUAAUUCUCUUGCUAUAUUUUGCACAGCUGAACCCCAGCUCAGACCUUCAGCCUUGACAGCCUAAAUGAGAUGUUUUGCACCCUUACAUUUCUGGUCUUAGCCCUUCUGUGGAAAGCUGUAUUCAUGAUAAGCCUAUAAUUUCUAAGAUACCACGAUUGUGUAGUCUAACCUAACACAAACCAGGAGGAAACAGAAUCUCUGUGCUGUGUACCAAGAAGCCUUUAGGCAGGAGAGAUGUGAAUGGCCUUUGGUGACCUGCCAUAGCAUCUGGUGGGAGAGUGAUUUGUAGCAAGAGAAACUUCAUUUUGAUUAGUCUGUUUUUACUACUAACAA